UACGUAGGGUGCGAGCGUUGUCCGGAAUUACUGGGCGUAAAGAGCUCGUAGGCGGUCUGUCACGUCGGCUGUGAAAACCCGAGGCUCAACCUCGGGCCUGCAGUCGAUACGGGCAAACUAGAGUACUGCAGGGGAGACUGGAAUUCCUGGUGUAGCGGUGAAAUGCGUAGAUAUCGAGAGGAACACCUGCGGCGAAGGCGGGUUGCUGGGCCGACACUGACGCUGAUGCGCGAAAGCCAGGGGAGCGAACGGG
rnacentral:rRNA from 1 species